AGGAUUAAGACUUUGGUCCAUAAUUGAGUGACCAGGUGGGUUGAAGUGUUCUCUGGUUGGUUUUUGAAUGUUAUAAUUCUUGACAUCUGAUUUGUGUCCAUUUAUUCUUUUAUG